rnacentral:rRNA from 1 species
GACGAACGCUGGCGGCGUGCCUAACACAUGCAAGUCGAACGGAGUUAAGACUUCGGUUUUAACUUAGUGGCGAACGGGUGAGUAACGCGUGAGAAACCUGCCUUUCAGUGGGGGACAACAGUUGGAAACGACUGCUAAUACCGCAUAAUGUGCCGGGAGGGCAUCCUCCUGGUACCAAAGCUUAAUGUGCUGAAAGAUGGUCUCGCGUCUGAUUAGCUAGUUGGCGGGGUAACGCCCACCAAGGCGACGAUCAGUAGCCGGACUGAGAGGUUGAACGGCCACAUUGGGACUGAGACACGGCCCAGACUCCUACGGGAGGCAGCAGUGGGGAAUAUUGCGCAAUGGGGGCAAGCCUGACCCAGCAAUGCCGCGUGAAGGAAGAAGGCUUUCGGGUUGUAAACUUCUUUUGUCAGGGACGAGUAGAAGACGGUACCUGACGAAUAAGCCACGGCUACAUACGUG